GCUUUUCAAAGUCCUUUUUUUUU
rnacentral:sRNA from 1 species